rnacentral:rRNA from 1 species
CCUACGGGAGGCAGCAGUGGGGAAUAUUGCACAAUGGGGGAAACCCUGAUGCAGCGACGCCGCGUGAGCGAUGAAGUAUUUCGGUAUGUAAAGCUCUAUCUGCAGGGAAGAAAAUGACGGUACCUGACUAAGAAUCCCCGUCUAACUACGUGCCAGCAGCCGCGGUAAUACGUAGGGGGCCAGCGUUAUCCGGAUUUACUGGGUGUAAAGGGAGCGUAGGCGGUCUUGCAAGUCAGAGGUGAAAGUCCGGGGCUCAACCCUGGGAUUGCAGUUGGAACUGGAAGACUAGAGUGUCGGAGAGGCAGGCGGAAUUCGUGGUGUAGCGGUGAAAUGCAUAGAUAUCAGGAAGAACACCGAUGGCGAAGGCGGCCUGCUGGACGAUGACUGACGUUGAGGCACGAAAGCGUGGGGAGCAAACAGGAUUAGAUACCCGAGUAGUC